rnacentral:rRNA from 1 species
UGGGGAAUUUUGGACAAUGGGGGCAACCCUGAUCCAGCAAUGCCGCGUGUGUGAAGAAGGCCUUCGGGUUGUAAAGCACUUUUGUCCGGAAAGAAAACGCCGUGGUUAAUACCCGUGGGCGGAUGACGGUACCGGAAGAAUAAGCACCGGCUAACUACGUGCCAGCAGCCGCGGUAAUACGUAGGGUGCAAGCGUUAAUCGGAAUUACUGGGCGUAAAGCGUGCGCAGGCGGUCCGCUAAGACAGAUGUGAAAUCCCCGGGCUUAACCUGGGAACUGCAUUUGUGACUGGCGGGCUAGAGUAUGGCAGAGGGGGUAGAAUUCCACGUGUAGCAGUGAAAUGCGUAGAGAUGUGGAGGAAUACCGAUGGCGAAGGCAGCCCCCUGGGCCAAUACUGACGCUCAUGCACGAAAGCGUGGGGAGCAAACAGGAUU